CCACAAUACCCACAAAACCCACAAUACCCACAAAACCCUGAAAUACCGACAAAACCCACAAUACCUAAAAUAUUCACAAUACCCACAAUACCCACAAUAACUGGCUCAUCAAGCACGCAUUCAGUUGGGGGAAAAGAGCCAUGAUAUAUCCUUCACCAGGACCCAUAGGACUCCGGUCAAAAGUAGCUCUCUAUGUCGGGAAUAGGGUGCCAUUUCAUGCACAGCCCUGGGUGAUCAGCAUCUCUCAUAUCAACAACUAUUCUCCUGUGAUUGGUGACUAUUUUCCUGUCUAAGGGGACUGUGAUGGUGACUAUUUUCGUGUCUAAGGGGACUGUGAUGGGGACUAUUCUCCUGUCUAAGGAGACUGUGAGGCGACUGUUCUCCUGUCUAAGGGGACUGUGAUGGUGACUAUUCUCCUGUCUAAGGGGACUGUGAUGGGGACUAUUCUUCUGUGUAAAAGGGACUGUGAUGGGGACUAUUCUCCUGUCUAAGGGGACUGUGAUGGGAACUAUUAUCCUGAUAAAGGAGACUGUGAUGGGACUAUUCUCCUGUCUAAGGGGACUGUGAUGGGGACUAUUCUCCUGUCUAAGGAGACUGUGAUGGGGACUAUUCUCCUGUCUAAGGGGACUGAGAUGGGGACUAUUCUUCUGUGUAAAAGGGACUGUGAUGGGACUAUUCUCCUGUCUAAGGGGACUGUGAUGGGAACUAUUAUCCUGAUAAAGGAGACUGUGAUGGGACUAUUCUCCUGUCUAAGGGGACUGUGAUGGGGACUAUUCUCCUGUCUAAGGAGACUGUGAUGGGGACUAUUCUCCUGUCUAAGGGGACUGAGAUGGGGACUAUUCUUCUGUGUAAAAGGGACUGUGAUGGGACUAUUCUCCUGUCUAAGGGGACUGUGAUGAAGACUAUUCUCCUGUCUAAGUGGACUGUGAUGAGGACUAUUCUCCUGUCUAAGGAGACUGUGAUGGGACUAUUCUUCAGUGUAAAGGGACUGUGAUGGGGACUAUUCUUCAGUGUAAAAGGGACUGUGAUGGGGACUAUUCUUCAGUGUAAAGGGAGUGUGAUGGGGACUAUUCUCCUGUGAAAAGGGGACUUUGAUGGUGACUAUUCUUCUGUUUAAGGAGACUGUGAUGAGGACUAUUCUCCUGUCUAAGGGGACUGUGAUGGGGACUAUUCUCCUGUCUAAGGGGACUGUGAUGGGGACUAUUCUCCUUUCUAAGGGGACUGUGAUGGGGACUAUUCUCCUGUCUAAUGGGACUGGGUUUGGGACUAUUCUCCUGUCUAAUGGGACUGUGAUUGGGACUAUUCUCCUGUCUAAUGGGACUGUGAUGGGGACUAUUAUCCUGAUAAAGGAGACUGUGAUUGGUGACUAUUUUCCUGUCUAAGGGGACUGUGAUUGGUGACUAUUCUUCAGUGUAAAGGGGACUGUGAUGGGGACUAUUCUCCUGUCUAAGGGGACUGUGAUGGGAACUAUUAUCCUGAUAAAGGAGACUGUGAUGGGGACUAUUAUCCUUUCUAAGGGGACUGUGAUGAGGACUAUUCUCCUGUCUAAGGGGACUGUGAUGAGGACUAUUCUCCUGUCUAAGGGGACUGUGAUGAGGACUAUUCUUCAGUGUAAAGGGGACUGUGAUGGGGACUAUUCUUCAGUGUAAAGGGGACUUUGAUGGGGACAAUUCUUCAGUGUAAAGGGACUGUGAUGGGGACUAUUCUCCUGUGUGAAGGGGACUUUGAUGGGGACUAUUAUGCAGUUUAAAGGGACUGUGGUGGAGACUAUUCUCCUGUCUAAGGGACUGAAAUGGGGACUAUUCUCCAGUGUAAAGGGACUGUGAUGGAGACUAUUCUCCAGUGUAAGGGGACUUUAACGGGGAGACUAAGAGGCAGGACAAAGGGCACUGAUAGAAUACCCCUCCGGCCUGUCUGGCUGCCUGACUGUAUUCAGCUCUAUGAGGCCUGGAACAAAAACAUCUCUGUACCUGGAGCUACGGCUGAGGGGAACAAUCAAGCUGGGGCCUCUGGAUGAGACCACAUUGAAUUGUGGGGGAAAAUGAGCAUGGGGACUAAGUCGUCCCGACGGCACCUGACUCCCAAAAGCCCAACACUGGUUGUGUAUGGAAAGGCACAGACAGAGAUAGAGACAGAAGACCAAGGCACACAGCAGAAACUGUGUCAGCAGGAUGAGAUAACUGCAUAUUUAAGUCAGAGCGUCUGAUGUUUUGAUAGGUCAAAACAGUUUAGGUGACAGAAUGGUUUUCUUUGAAAAACCACGGAUAAAGCCAUCUUAGAGAGAAGCGGUGAAGUCCUCAGGGGACACAAGAUGUCUGUCGGCAAGCGUGGAGAGAAUUAGAAAGGAACAAGCAUGGAGAGAGACAGAAAGGGACAAGCAUGGAGAGAGACAGAAAGUGACAAGCAAGGAGAGAGACAGAAAGGCACAAGCAUGGAGAGAGACAGAAAGGGACAAGCAUGAGAGAGGCAGAAACAGACAAGCAUGGAGAGAGAAAUAAAUGGACAAGCAUGGAGAGAGGCAGAAAGGGACAAGCAUGGAGAGAGGCAGAAAGGGACAAGCAUGGAGAGAGGCAGAAAAGGACAAGCAUGGAGAGAGACAGAAAGGGACAAGCAUGGAGAGAGGCAGAAAGGGACAAUCAUGGAGAGAGGCAGAAAGGGACAAGCAUGGAGAGAGACAGAAAGGGACAAGCAUGGAGAGAGGCAGAAAGGGACAAGCAUGGAGAGAGUCAGAAAGGGACAAGCAUUGAGAGAGAAAUAAAUGGACAAGCAUGGAGAGAGGCAGAAAGGGACAAGCAUGAAGAUAGACAGAAAGGGACAAGUAUGAGAGAGCCAGAAAGGGACAAGCAUAGAGAGAGGCAGAAAGGGACAAGCAUGAAGAGGCGAUACAGAGAGAGAGAGAUUGGGAGUGAGAGCGAUUCAAAGAGAGAGAUGGAGAGAGAGUAUGAGAGAAAAAGAGAGAGAUUGAUAUAGAAAAAUACAGAGAGAGAGACAUGUCAGAGAGAGAGAGAGAGAGAGAGAGAGAGAGGAUAUUUCUAAACUCGAGACAAGCCUCUUUGGAUGGAAUGUGUCCAUGAAGAGGACACUCCAAGUGUUACUUGUCAGCGGAGCGCGUGUGAAAAGAGAACGCUAAGAGCCUUGGAAGGGCCCAAGAGUCCCGCCACGCUGGUCCGUAGGGAACCAGGCUGCGUGCUGAAAGACCCACACUUCAACUUUUCAGUGUGUGGCACAAGACACCUAAAAAAAGCACUCCAUCUGUCCGUCCGUCCCACAACACCAGUCACUUGUGUGACUCUCAACUC
rnacentral:lncRNA from 1 species